AAACUAGAACUCUCUCUCUUCUCUCUUCCCUCUUCAAAAUAUUUAGAGAGAGAGAGAGUUUGUUUGUUCUUUCGUUGUUUCUGGCUCUUGACUCCCGAGGUUCGGGCUUUGACUCUGGCAACCGGUGGCUCACAAAGCAUCGAAUUGGCCGGCUAUCGACUCUGGCAAACGGUGGCUCCCAAAGCAUCGACUUGGCCGGCUUGUAACUUGAGAGUCAUCACUCAUCUCUGAUAAAUUUCAAUGAUGUUUCGUCAUGUUCAUCCGAUUCAGAGCUUCUUUUGUUUUCGUUGGAACUUGGUGAGACCGAUUUGAUUUUCAAUGAAGAGAUGGUGCGGUUCAUAGCUCUACCACUUUUGAGCUUUAGUUGUACUUGGAUGUUCUAUUCUUGAGCUUCCUGUUCCGGUGAGUAUCCGGUGGAUCUCCGGUUAGAAAUCCGGCAACGGCUUGGAAAUUGGUGAAGAAAGGGAUGACUCUGCUCUUCCGCCACGCGUCCGUCUACCGCUUACGUGUGACACGUUGGCUGUGAGCUGUCUUGAGCCUCUUUCUCUGUUGGAGUUUUAUAUGGCCUUUGCGGUUAGGCUUUAGUUGUUUGUACGUUUGGGCUUUACCUUUGCCUUUUAUUUUAUAUUUUGUACCUGUUGGCUUUUAGCCAUUUAAUAAAACGAGAUGACAAAAAAAAA